rnacentral:rRNA from 1 species
CCUACGGGGGCAGCAGUGGGGAAUAUUGCACAAUGGGGGAAACCCUGAUGCAGCGACGCCGCGUGAGUGAAGAAGUAUUUCGUUAUGUAAAGCUCUAUCAGCCGGGAAGAAAAGGCCGUUACCUGAUUAAGAAGCGCCGGCUAACUACGUGCCAGCAGCCGCGGGACUACGUAGGGGUCAGGCUGUAGCCCGCUUUACUGGGUGGACAGGGAGCGUAGCCGGCAGCUCCAUGCUGAAGGGAAAGGCCGGGGCUUAACCCCGGAACUGCUUUGGAAACGGUGCAGCUAGUGUGCAGGAGCGGGAAGUGGAAUUCCUAGUGUAGCGGUGAAAUGCGUAGAUAUUAGGAGGAACACCAGUGGCGACGGCGGCUUACUGGACUGUAACUGACGUUGAGGCUCGAACGCGUGGGGAGCAAACAGGAUUAGAUACCCUUGUAGUC